AGGGUGCAGGGCGGAUGCCUUGGCACUAGGAGCCGAUGAAGGACGUGAUAAGCUGCGAUAAGCUUCGGGGAGUUGCACGUAAACUUUGAUCCGAAGAUUUCCGAAUGAGGAAACUCACUUAGAGUAAUGUCUAAGUAUCAUUAAGUGAAUACAUAGCUUAAUGAGGGGAACUCAGGGAACUGAAACAUCUAAGUACCUGAAGGAAGAGAAAGAAAUUCGAUUCCGUAAGUAGCGGCGAGCGAACGCGGAUUAGCCCAAACCAAUAAAGUUUUCUUUAUUGGGGUUGCGGACAUAUCAUAACGAAGAGGUAUCGUAAUUGAAGAGGUUUGGAAAGACCCACCACAGAAGGUAAUAGUCCUGUAUGUUAAACGAGAAGACUUCAGAUAUGAUCCAGAGUACCACGGGACACGUGAAACCCUGUGGGAAGCAGGAGGGACCACCCUCCAAGGCUAAAUACUACCUAGUGACCGAUAGCGUAUAGUACCGUGAGGGAAAGGUGAAAAGAACCCCGGGAGGGGAGUGAAAUAGAACCUGAAACCCUGCACUUACAAGCUGUGGAAGCACAUUUCUUGUGUGACCGCGUACUUUUUGUAGAACGGGCCAACGAGUUACGUUAAGUAGCAAGGUUAAGCACUUAAGGUGCGGAGCCGUAGCGAAAGCGAGUUUUAACUGAGCGUUCAGUUACUUGACGUAGACCCGAAACCGGGCGACCUACCCAUGAGCAGGAUGAAGCGAAAGUAAAAUUUCGUGGAGGUCCGAACCCACGAGCGUUGAAAAGCUCGGGGAUGACUUGUGGGUAGCGGUGAAAUUCCAAUCGAGCCCGGAGAUAGCUGGUUCUCCCCGAAAUAGCUUUAGGGCUAGCCUCAAGGUGAGAGAUACGGAGGUAGAGCACUGAAUGUCCUAGGGGGUAUUGCACCUACCGAAGACUAUCAAACUCCGAAUGCCGUCAUCUUAUACUUGGGAGUCAGACUGUGGGUGAUAAGAUUCAUAGUCGAAAGGGCAACAGCCCAGAUCGUCAGCUAAGGUCCCUAAAUGUAAGUUAAGUGGUAAAGGAUGUGGGAUUGCACAGACAACCAGGAUGUUGGCUUAGAAGCAGCCACUCAUUCAAAGAGUGCGUAAUAGCUCACUGGUCGAGUGAUCCUGCGCCGAAGAUUUCCGGGGCUAAAACUUACUACCGAAGCUACGGCAUCAGUAAUGAUGGGUAGGGGAGCUUCCCAUACGGGUUGAAGCAUGACCGUAAGGACAUGUGGACAGUAUGGGAGUGAGAAUGUUGGCAUGAGUAGCGAGAUGUGGGUGAGAAUCCCACAGGCCGUAAACCCAAGGUUUCCAGGGGAAGGUUCGUCCGCCCUGGGUUAGUCGGGACCUAAGCUGAGGCCGAAAGGCGUAGGUGAUGGACAACAGGUUGAUAUUCCUGUACUACCGAUAACCGUUUGAGAGAAGGGAUGACACAGUAGGAUAAGCUAAGCACACUGUUGGUUAUGUGUGCCCAAGCAUUGAGGCAGUCAAAGUAGGCAAAUCCGCUUUGAUAAUGCUGGGAUGUGAUGGGGAGCGAAAUUUAGUAGCGAAGUAGCUGAUUUCACACUGUCAAGAAAAGUCUCUAUCGAGGUUAAAGGUACCCGUACCGCAAACCGACACAGGUGGGUGAGGAGAGUAUCCUAAGGCCAGCGAGAGAACUGUUGUUAAGGAACUCGGCAAAAUGACCCCGUAACUUAGGGAUAAGGGGUGCCACCAUCAGGUGGCCGCAGAGAAUAGGCCCAAGCGACUGUUUACCAAAAACAUAGGUUUCUGCUAAGUCGCAAGACGAUGUAUAGGAGCUGACGCCUGCCCGGUGCUGGAAGGUUAAGGGGAUCUGUUAGAGCAAUCGAAGCAGUGAACUUAAGCCCCAGUAAACGGCGGCCGUAACUAUAACGGUCCUAAGGUAGCGAAAUUCCUUGUCGGGUAAGUUCCGACCCGCACGAAAGGCGUAACGAUUUGGGCACUGUCUCAACAACAGACUCGGUGAAAUUGUAAUUCCGGUGAAGAUGCCGGAUACCUGCGACAGGACGGAAAGACCCCAUGGAGCUUUACUGUAGCUUGACAUUGGGUCUUGGUACUACAUGUACAGGAUAGGUGGGAGGCUUUGAAACCAGGACGCCAGUUUUGGCGGAGCCAUCCUUGGGAUACCACCCUUGUAGUACUGGGACUCUAACCAUAGGCCAUGAAUCUGGUCUUGGGACACUGUCAGGUGGGCAGUUUGACUGGGGCGGUCGCCUCCCAAAAGGUAACGGAGGCGCUCAAAGGU
rnacentral:rRNA from 1 species